rnacentral:rRNA from 1 species
UACGGAGGAUCCAAGCGUUUAUCCGGAAUCAUUGGGUUUAAAGGGUCCGUAGGCGGUUUAAUAAGUCAGUGGUGAAAUCUGGUCGCUCAACGAUCAAACGGCCAUUGAUACUGUUAGACUUGAAUUAUUGGGAAGUAACUAGAAUAUGUAGUGUAGCGGUGAAAAUGCUUAGAUAUUACAUGGAAUACCAAUUGCGAAGGCAGGUUACUACCAAUAUAUUGACGUGAUGGACGAAAGCGUGGGGAGCGAACAGG